GAAACGCGAUUCUCAGCGGGCGCCGGAAGCGGUCUUCUGUCUGCAGCUCUAGCAGAUGACUGUUCCACUAGACACGCUGAGGGGACUGGAUACGUGUUUUCCUUCAGGACCGGAGCUGAGCGGAGCCGGGAUCGCGGCGGCAAUGGAACGGGCCUCAGAAAGGCGCACGACCAGCGCGCUGUUUGCGGGCUUCCGGGCCUUGGGACUUUUCAGCAACGACAUUCCACACGUGGUGCGGUUCAGCGCGCUCAAGCGCCGGUUCUAUGUAACAACCUGCGUGGGCAAGAGUUUCCACACCUAUGACGUUCAGAAACUUAGUCUGGUUGCAGUAAGUAAUUCUGUUCCACAGGAUAUCUGCUGUAUGGCAGCUGAUGGCAGAUUAGUCUUUGCUGCUUAUGGAAAUGUUUUCUCUGCAUUUGCCCGUAAUAAAGAGAUAGUACAUACCUUUAAGGGUCAUAAGGCAGAAAUCCAUCUCUUGCAACCCUUUGGAGACCACAUUAUCUCUGUUGAUACUGACAGCAUUCUUAUUAUUUGGCACAUAUAUUCAGAAGGUAAGAGUUAACUCACUUAUUUGCUUUAUCUUAGGGUAGUAUGUG
rnacentral:lncRNA from 1 species